UGUCCCUAACAUAUGUGUACAAGUGUGAUGUAAGGUUUGUCUAACCUUGCAUGUACCCCGCGUUGACGAUUUCCGCAUACAUGGGCCGACACUUGGUAAAAUCCAGGAUUUGUAUGUGGAAACUCCUGCUACGGCUCAUCCGGGGCCUAUUUCAUUCCAAACCUAUGGUUUCCAUGUGCAUAUGUCCUAAACAAAGCAAAGCAAAUAAAAAAUCCAUUGGUAAACCCUCGCACGGAGAAAGCUAUAGGGGUAGAUCUGCAGGGUCCCCGCCCUAGGGUUUCCCAAGAUACAGAUCACCGGAGCGUCGGAAUCGCUUGAAAACUUGCAUUUGUCCCUAACAUAUGUGUACAAGUGUGAUGUAAGGUUUGUCUAACCUUGCAUGUACCCCGCGUUGACGAUUUCCGCAUACAUGGGCCGACACUUGGUAAAAUCCAGGAUUUGUAUGUGGAAACUCCUGCUACGGCUCAUCCGGGGCCUAUUUCAUUCCAAACCUAUGGUUUCCAUGUGCAUAUGUCCUAAACAAAGCAAAGCAAAUAAAAAAAUCCAUUGGUAAACCCUCGCACGGAGAAAGCUAUAGGGGUAGAUCUGCAGGGUCCCCGCCCUAGGGUUUCCCAAGAUACAGAUCACCGGAGCGUCGGAAUCGCUUGAAAACUUGCAUUUGUCCCUAACAUAUGUGUACAAGUGUGAUGUAAGGUUUGUCUAACCUUGCAUGUACCCCGCGUUGACGAUUUCCGCAUACAUGGGCCGACACUUGGUAAAAUCCAGGAUUUGUAUGUGGAAACUCCUGCUACGGCUCAUCCGGGGCCUAUUUCAUUCCAAACCUAUGGUUUCCAUGUGCAUAUGUCCUAAACAAAGCAAAGCAAAUAAAAAAACUCUCGCACGGAGAAAGCUAUAGGGGUAGAUCUACGGGGUCCCCGCCCUAGGGUUUCCCAAGAUACAGAUCACCGGAGCGUCAGAAUUGUUGGAAAACUUGCAUCUGCCCCUAACAUAUAUGUACAAGU